AUUGCUCCUAGAAGUAUUAUAGAUGUGGAUACUGUGUCACAUAUGGGUCAAGAGCUGACAGAGAGGAGAGAGGCCAUGUAUAUGUUUGCUAUUCUGACCUGAGAACAUCUGAAUGAUUAGUAGUCAGAUAGC